rnacentral:rRNA from 1 species
AUUGAACGCUGGCGGCAUGCUUUACACAUGCAAGUCGAACGGUAACAGGCCGCAAGGUGCUGACGAGUGGCGAACGGGUGAGUAAUGCAUCGGAACAUACCCAGUCGUGGGGGAUAACGCAGCGAAAGCUGUGCUAAUACCGCAUACGAUCUAAGGAUGAAAGCGGGGGACCUUCGGGCCUCGCGCGAUUGGAGUGGCCGAUGUCAGAUUAGGUAGUUGGUGGGGUAAAGGCCCACCAAGCCGACGAUCUGUAGCUGGUCUGAGAGGACGACCAGCCACACUGGGACGGGGACACGGCCCAGACUCCUACGGGAGGCAGCAGUGGGGAAUUUUGGACAAUGGGCGCAAGCCUGGUCCAGCAAUGCCGCGUGCAGGGUGAAGGCCUUCGGGUUGUAAACUGCUUUUGUACGGAACGAAACGGUCUGGGUUAAUACCCUGGGCUAAUGACGGUACCGUAAGAAUAAGCACCGGCUAACUACGUGCCAGCAGCCGCCGUAA